rnacentral:rRNA from 1 species
CCUACGGGAGGCAGCAGUAGGGAAUCUUCCGCAAUGGACGAAAGUCUGACGGAGCAACGCCGCGUGAACGAUGAAGGCCUUCGGGUCGUAAAGUUCUGUUGUUAGGGAAGAACAAGUGCUAGUUAAAUAAGCUGGCACCUUGACGGUACCUAACCAGAAAGCCACGGCUAACUACGUGCCAGCAGCCGCGGUAAUACGUAGGUGGCAAGCGUUGUCCGGAAUUAUUGGGCGUAAAGCGCGCGCAGGCGGUUUCUUAAGUCUGAUGUGAAAGCCCCCGGCUCAACCGGGGAGGGUCAUUGGAAACUGGGAAACUUGAGUGCAGAAGAGGAAAGUGGAAUUCCAAGUGUAGCGGUGAAAUGCGUAGAGAUUUGGAGGAACACCAGUGGCGAAGGCGACUUUCUGGUCUGUAACUGACGCUGAGGCGCGAAAGCGUGGGGAGCAAACAGGAUUAGAUACCCUGGUAGUCCACGCUGUAAACGAUGAGUGCUAAGUGUUAGAGGGUUUCCGCCCUUUAGUGCUGAAGUUAACGCAUUAAGCACUCCGCCUGGGGAUACGGUCGCAAGACUGAAACUUAAAUGAAUUGACGG